UUGAGUGUGAACCGUAGAGCUAACGGCUUAGCUUUAAAUACCAAAUGAACAACCCAUCUUCAUCACAGUCAUAAUCCACCAAUCAUGAAGUUGACACUGCUUUUGGUUCUGGUUAUCAUGAUCGUCGUUGUGCAGAUCUCAUCCAAUGAGGACGUCCAGACAAGUUUCUUCAAUGCGAUCAAUAAAUACGUGCAAGCCAAUAGGAACCGCCGUCAGGCAUUCGGAGCUAUGGGACUUGAUCAAAUUUUCAACACGAUGAAAUCGUUCCAACCUUCAUUAGGGAAGGUUGAAAAAUGAUAGAAACUUGAAUAAAAUAAAGUAAAUGAAGUUAUGAGCCAUUUUUACAUAGAAA